GUGCCUUGAGGCGUGGCUUCCGGAGCUAACGCGUUAAAUCGACCGCCUGGGGAGUACGGCCGCAAGGUUAAAACUCAAAUGAAUUGACGGGGGCCCGCACAAGCGGUGGAGCAUGUGGUUUAAUUCGAUGCAACGCGAAGAACCUUACCUACUCUUGACAUCCAGAGAACUUUCCAGAGAUGGAUUGGUGCCUUCGGGAACUCUGAGACAGGUGCUGCAUGGCUGUCGUCAGCUCGUGUUGUGAAAUGUUGGGUUAAGUCCCGCAACGAGCGCAACCCUUAUCCUUUGUUGCCAGCGGUUCGGCCGGGAACUCAAAGGAGACUGCCAGUGAUAAACUGGAGGAAGGUGGGGAUGACGUCAAGUCAUCAUGGCCCUUACGAGUAGGGCUACACACGUGCUACAAUGGCGUAUACAAAGAGAAGCGACCUCGCGAGAGCAAGCGGACCUCAUAAAGUACGUCGUAGUCCGGAUUGGAGUCUGCAACUCGACUCCAUGAAGUCGGAAUCGCUAGUAAUCGUAGAUCAGAAUGCUACGGUGAAUACGUUCCCGGGCCUUGCACUCCC
rnacentral:rRNA from 1 species